GAGUAUCACCCCGCAGAUGACUUGAUUAUGAACAAGAAAAAUAUACCUUACAAUGAAGAAAUCCAGCAGUCACCAACUUAACUUAGUGAUCACGCUUAGCACUACUAAUGGUGGAACAACCUGGCUUUAUAGGCCUCUUGAUUUGAUGCAACAUGAUGUAACAGUAUCACCUAUGAAGGAACCUUGCCAAAAGUGCUUAACCUGAAUAUAAUCAAGCCUUUUGACCCAACUUCCAGUUUACAGGAAAUGCACGGAGAGAGGAACAACUACAAUGAUCCUGGGAGGAGAAUCAGACAAAUCCAGAAUGUGGGACAUUCUAUAAGAAAACUGGCCUAAAUUCUUCAACAGGGAGUUGAAAGUGAUUUUUCCACUUUGUGUGCAGAGAAAAGAAACUUCACUGGGCAAGAAUUUCCUUUGAUAACUCCUCCCUCUAGCACACACACCUGAAAAUUGUUUGUGUUAACUCAUCAUUGAAAAGAUAAAAAAAACUUGAGUAUACUAAAAUUUAAAUUAGGUAUACAACCAAAAGGAUCAUUAAAAGUUAGAGACAACCCAUAGACCACAAGAAAAUAUUUGCAAUAAAGAAUUAGUAAGCAGAAUAUUAAAAAAAAUCCUACACGUCAUUAAGAAAACAGAUAAAUAACCCAAUAGAAAAGUGGAAAGAAUGAGGAGGAGGAAGAAGAGAAGAUGUGAACAAACCAUUUACAAAAGAAAAAAACAAAUGGCCAAUAAACAUAUGAAAAAUACUCAAGCUUAUGAAUAAUCAGGGCUAUGCCAACAAAAAUUAUAACUCAUCAAAUGGAAGAAAAUUUAAAUCUGAAAAAGACCCAGAAAAUGGUAAGACUCAUGCACAACUGAUAGGAGUACAUAUUGUUAUAUCCACUUUGGAGAGCAAGUUGUCAUUAUCUAAUAAGUUGAAGGUGGGCACUUAUCGUGAGCCAACAACUCCACUCUGAGAGAAGCUCUUGUAGAUAUAAUAUGGAGGCACAUAAAUUUUAUUACAGCUUGAUUUUAAAAACAAAAAAUGUAAAAAUAACAACCUGAAUAUCUAUCAACAGGAAAAUGGAGGAAAAAAUGUGGUGCAUUUAUUUAAUGGAUGAAUAAAUACUUAUGAAAUUAAUGAAAAUGAAUGAACUAGAGGUACAUGGGUCAAUAUGGCUAAAUCUCAAAAACAAUAUUCAGCAAAAAAAAGCAAAUUGCAGAGUAAUAUGUACAAAUUUUAAAGGCAUGCAAAAAUAUGUUGUUUAUGGGAAUGCAUGUAUAGUAAAAGUAUGAGACCAUGCAUGGGAAUGAAACACACCAAAUUCAUGAUGGUUGUUGUCUGGGAGGAAGAAAGAGGGGCAUCGGGAUCAGAGAGUGGUACCCAGGAGACCGUCCACUAUAUCUGUAAUAUUUUAUUUCUUUAAUAUAUAAUGUUUAAUGUACUUAAAAAGAAGAAGAAGAGGGGCCGGCCCGGUGGCACAGUGGUUAAGUUCCCACACUCCACUUUGGUGGCCCAGGUACACUGGUUUGGAUCCCAGGCGCAGAACCUAUGCAUUGCUUAUCAAGUCAUGCUGUGGUGGCAUCCCACACAUAAAAUAGAGGAAGAUGGGCACAGAUGUUAGCUCAGGGCCAGUCUUCCUUAACAAAAGGAGGAGGCUUGGUGGCUGACGUUAGCUCAGGGCUAAUCUGCCUCAAAAAAAAAAAAAAAAAAGGAAAAAGAAGAAGAGAAAAUCAAAAUCUCCUAGGAGUCUUCAUGAUAUAUUUAUUUAAAAAUAUGUAAGUUCUGUAUAAGGCCUCUUUUGUAAAUCUUAGGAAAAGGUACCCAACACCACUGAGGCAUGGCUUGGAUACUACAUUAAUAAAAAGUGCCAACAUUGCCCCACACCAGUGCUUAUGACUUGGAGAGCAGAAUUCCCUGCUCAUUCAGGGGGUCCUCAUAAACAGAACAUAACCUCUACAACCAUAUAUAGCAGCCCUGACUAUAUCAAAUGAACAAAUCCAUCUUCUCCUCCUUCCUUGCAUCUCAAAGAGUGAGAUCUCCUUCCUCCUGCCCAUGGCAAACCCCUCCAGCUGGGCUGAGCUCCUCUAUCAUUAUGCCCUGUUCCCACAGCUUUAGCCUACUACUUCCCCACUAGCUCUUUCUCCCAGCCUUUGACCCUAUAUUUCUAUUUGCUGCUGUUUCAUAUGCUACUGUGAUCUUGUUUGCUCUUCCAGCACAUCACCGAAAUGACUGUCAUCCACAAAAUCACCAAGGCCCUUCUAACUCAAAAGCAGAGAGCCACUCUGCAGUUCUCACCUCACUUGCUCCUUGCAAUAUUUGACAUAUUCUUUAUGGAAACUCCCCUUGUGGCUUCUGUGACAUUAUUCCUCUCUUGGAUUUCCUGUUUGGCUGCUGGGAACUUGGUCUAUUUUAUGGGCCUUGUUUUACUACCCAGCCUGUGAAUGCUACUGUUCCUUCCUCAUCCAUGUUUUCUUCUCACUCUCUUCUAUUCAAGUAGCUUUAACAUUCACUUAAUAAAUAUUUAUUGAACACCUACUCCAUUCCAGGCUCUUUUCUCAGUGCUAGGGAUACAGCUAUGAUAAGGCCUUGCCCUCAUGGAGUUGCAAUCUAGUGAGGGAACACUGACAGCAACAACUGUUUUUUUUUUUUGGUGAGGAAGAGCAGCCCUGAGCUAACACCUGUUGCCAAUCUUCCUCUAUUUUGUAUGUGGGACACUGCCACAGCAUGGCUUGAUGAGCAGUGUGUAGGUCCAUGCCCAGAAUCUGAACCCACGAACCCCGGGCAGCCAAAGCAGAGUGCGCCAGCUUAACCACU
ensembl:lncRNA